GGGCCGCGGGAAUUCGAUUCAGGCCUAACACAUGCAAGUCGAACGAUGAAGCCAAAACUUGCUCCGGUGGAUUAGUGGCGAACGGGUGAGUAACACGUGAGCAAUCUGCCCUUGACUCUGGGAUAACUGCGGGAAACUGUAGCUAAUACCGGAUACGACACCUUGGGGCAUCCCAGGGUGUGGAAAGAAUUUCGGUCAAGGAUGAGCUCGCGGCCUAUCAGCUAGUUGGUGAGGUAAUGGCUCACCAAGGCGACGACGGGUAGCCGGCCUGAGAGGGGGGCCGGCCACACUGGAACUGAGACACGGUCCAGACUCCUACGGGA
rnacentral:rRNA from 1 species